AGUGGGAGAUGAAGGAGCCUUGCAUCGAUGUCACCGCCGGAGGAGCGCUCGCCUUCUUCGCGCACCGCCGCAAUAGCCGCCCUCGGACCCCUCGCCUCGCUCUUCCUUGUUCCUCCCAUUUU